rnacentral:lncRNA from 1 species
UGGCAAGAGAGAAAACUUCUGCUCUACCUGUGACAAUCAUAACUACAUAUUGUUCAUAAUAUGGAUAUACCAUUCACUUAAUGUCAGCAAAACUGCUCAGACUACUAAAGGAGCAUAUUUGUGGGCAUGUCUGACUUGUAUGAAGAUGUGCAUAUGUAAAUUUUCUUCGUAGAAUGACAGUAAUGCAAAAUAAAUGCUAAAACCUACUCUUGUCACAUGCACCAGAAAGGAAGAAAAUUCACCGACUAGCA